GGCAGUGAGAGACCGGUCCCCGAAGGACCAAAUCUCCAGACUUAGCCAAUUUUUCAACAUUUUCAGCCUUCGUCCGUUUUCGCUCCGUUUUCGCUCGUUUUCACUCGUUUGACCUCCGAUUCUUUUCAAAUCGAACCGAGACUCUCCAAACAUGUUUUUGAACAUGUUUUCAUCAUCUUUUCGUCCACGCUAAUGUCGGAUUUAGCUCACGGCCCAACAUAGGCUUUCGGGUUUCGUUUUCGCGCCUACGCGCACUGAAACGCCCGAGUGCUCCAGAACUUCACCGAACUUCACCGGGAUCAUUCAAAUGGCUUUCCAACCAAAUGUACAUCAUAACUUCAAAGUUUUAAAAGUUCGGUAUGUUACAACAAUGCACUUAUUGUGCUUUCGACACCUUCGGCCUUUCCGAAGCGGACCCAACCGAUAAUCGGUCGAUUCCAAUCGAAGUCAACCCUCGUAUUUUGAGAAUUCACUUCCUUAUAAGCGUGGAGUCCUGCUAGGUGAUCACCUCGCUAUUUUGAGUUUGCUGACGAGGGUGAUGCGUACCCAUGUAUAGAGAGACUACCAUUUGUGUUUAUAGUUCUUGUGGCGACCCUGUGGUGUAUAUGUAUGAUUAGUGUGAUGUGUUUACCGUUUUUGUUUCUACAUCUUGUUGAGCUUUGUGGAGUUUAUACUUGUAUCCUCUAGCUAGUAGUACUUUUGAUAGAUUUUUGUACAUACUUUACUCUGAUAUCAUGCUAGAAUCUUCAACUCAUUGUUACUUUCCUGACAUGAUUUUAGUGGACGUCUUAUAUGUUAGAAAAUUGCAUACGGUAAAAACGCAGCGAAAAAGAAUCAAACAAAUUUGAUUUUGAAACCUCUCGAGAUCCAAUCUCAAAAACCACGCAAUUAGGAUCCGUAAUGUUCUUUAAGAUUAAAGAAGAAAAAUAAGAUCGAAUCUUUACCUUUUUUGCGGAUAGAUCUUCGCCUCAACUUGAUGAUUGUGGAAUUGGGUUCUCUUGAAGCCGCACACGCGUCCGGCCUCUAUAGGUGUCACGCCCCGAGACCGCUACCAAUUUGGUCCGGCCCCGGGCGCGUCAAACAGACGCCGAACGUACAGUACCUCCCCUGUCCGCCCAAGGCUAACCAACAGAUCAUGUAUAAGAAUUUACCCAGGAAUCAAUUCAUAAAUACACGAUCAAGAAGCACCACCAGUGCAACAACCAAGAGCAAGAUACAAGUAUAGAAACAUAUACAAGUACAUAAGAGAGAAGAUGUUAUCUAUUACAUUCAUUUGGCUCAAUACAUUUAAGUACGUCUUUUAUAUUCUUCCAAAAACAUAAAUACAAGCACUCAAACCUCACCCUAUACAUCAUCAACUCUCAAAUAUAAAUAAGGGUAGAGCUAACACAAAAGGGUAGGUGGCUAAUGCAACUAAGGCGCCGGGCCCUUACCGCGAUCCUCACGCUCGCCCGGGAAGCUCGAACUCGGACCUGAAAAGAGUGGGGUGAGAACUAACUUCCUUAGUUCCCAGUGGGUUCGGCCGCCGACUCCGCCGGUCUCCCCACUAGGUCCAAGUGGGCACAAGUAGAUAUACCGAUAUAUAGAUAAUAAGAAAAGCUGUAAGGACAGGAAAGUAAAGCUACACUACUAUGCCCAAUCAUAGAUAUAUGAAUGCAUGUCCAAUGAAAUGGUAAGCAACUAACCUGUCGUCAUGUCAAAAAGGUAAAGUUAUGUACUUGUUCAUUAAUCUCAUUUACUAGUUUCUUAAUCCCGUGGCUUCUCUGAAAACUUGCCUACCGCUCACUAGCCAUCUCGAAGGUAGGGAGGGUCAACUCGCACUACGAACCGAGACCGUCUGCCGGGGCCCAAAAUAGGCAAUCCCUUGGGACCCAAAAUAGGCAAUCCCACGUGACCAACUCCGGAGCGCACUACUUGUGUGGGGCUUCCAUCACAAGAUUUAAAAACAGACCGUGAGCAUGAUCCAAUCCUCGUCUCGAGAAUACCCUAUCCUCUAGGGUUACCAUCAUCAUAUAGUCCAUAGGUUUCACAUACACUAUGACUCAUAUGUGUCAUUUGUUCUCUUAUACACUAUUAACUAGAUUGCCACUCGUCCAUUGUUUACUAUCGACUAGAUGCCACUCGUUCUUUGUUUAACACUAGACCAACCAUUGAGCCCAUCUCUUUCUUUGCACUAUAGGAUUCACAAUCUCGACCCAAUCCUUAUCGAUCCACUAUAUCAAGUAUCCAAUACAUGCUACGAUAUCAUCAAGGAAAGCAUAAGGAAAGGCAAUGCACAAUCAUCCUAUAAUGCAAUAAUACAAGAUGCAAGAAUCGAAAUGUACUAAGACAUAGAAGGGGGCCCAGUUGCUUCGGGAUGGUCACCACCCACCUCUUGGUGAUGCCGCGAUGAUAGAAAACUUGACGUUGCGGUUCUUGCCCGUCGCCCUAGCUCCUCGGGGCGAAGCGAGCCCUCAAGUACCCGAUUCGGCGAUUUCUCUGCACCCGCUCGUCGGAUCGAGAAACCGACUUCGCCGACGCGCUCCGGGACCUAGCAAUUAGGUUUGCGACCUAUUAAAUUAGAUCAAAACCCUAGAUUUCCAAAAUCCCAGUUUCGUGCCCUAGAAUGGCAACGGGGAAGAAAUCCGUGGUGCGAGCUUCGAUUUCGAGCUCGAACCAUCUAUUUAUCUCCAAUAGGUUCCAUUCGAACCAUUCCUAAGCAAUAAAACCCAAUCUCAAGCAAUCCACCAUGGAUGGGUUUGAGGUUUACCUCUAAACCAAGCUCCAAGCUUGCUCUAGCUUGAAGGAGAGAGGGAAGAAGACCUUCUUCUUCUUCUUCUUGGACUUUUCCCUCCACUUCUUCUUCUUUUCUUUCCUUUCUUUCUUCUCCUUCUUCUUCUCCUUCUUUUCUUUCUAGAGAGAGAGAGUGAAAGAGUGUGAGAUGGAGAGAGAGCAAAUGAGAAGGGGAGAGGGGUCCCCAAGCCUCUAAUAAGGCCAUUUUGCAAUUAGCCCCCUCAACUUUUCAUCUUUAGAACCAGCCCUCUCUGGGCAUUUUCGCAGUGAGGGACCGGUCCCAGCUAGGGGAGACCGGUCCCCGAAAGCUGCAAUUCUGAGCAAAAGGGAUUUCGCGUUCGGGAACUGGUCCCCGGGAGACCGGUCCUUGUCCGAGAGAUCGGUUCCCGAAAGCUGAGUUUUCGGGACUUAGCCAAAUUUCGGCUAUUUUCGCUCGGCCAACUUUCGGGAACCGGUCCCUACCUGCCAGGGACCGGUCUCAUCAGAGACCUCCACAGCCCAGCCUGAUGGAACCGGUCCCUCCCUGCCAGGGACCGGUCCCCGAGAGCAUUUCUGCUCCAGUGCAAGUUUUGCACUGGUGCUCUCGCGGACCUUUCCUUAAUGCACUUUACGCAUUAUAGCCACAUUUGGACUUUCCGAAGCCUACACGCUCGACAAAUAGUCGAUUCCAAACCGAAGUCUAAUCCUCGAAUUUCGAGGAUUCACUUCCUUCCAUCCUCCUCACCUUAAAAGAGUUUCGUUCUCGAAACGAACUCAAUACUACCAAACUUAAUUAGAAUUCCAAAUUCUAAACUCAUACCUCGAUUUAACCUUCGAAUA
rnacentral:lncRNA from 1 species